GAUUCUUCUUAUAGCUCUUCCAUGUUCCAUGCUCCUGCAGAUCCAUGUAUUUUGUUUUCAUGGCAGCUUAUUGUAGUUCUAAUGAUUUAUUUCUGUAACCAGUAGAUUUACAUCAUGCUACCAAACUUCCUUGGUAUGUAGACUUUCCAUCUGCAAGACUGUGACCUGAAGUUCAUUCUGUAAUCGACUCUUUCCCUUUUCCCUUUCCACCCCAGUAAAUGCCAGGAUUAUAGAGAACAAUAUAGGAACAACUGAAGAAUUCUACUAACAAAUACAUGGCUCCAUAUCCUGAAAGCAGGAGGCAGUGCAUCUCAUUCUAUGGAUUGUUUAUAUCAAGGAUUUUACAAAACUUUGGGUAUUUGUAGAGAUCAGGAAUUGAUCAAGCUCUUGCUCUUUAUUUGGCCUUGUUUGGGUAUAUGAGACACCUCAAAUGUGAAAGCACAAUAAUGUGUUUCCCAGAGAGAAUCCAGAGACUGCAGUUUACUGGCUGUCAUGGUGGAGUUGACAGCUACUGUAGGCUGUGGCAACAGAGAAGGAAUUGUAGUGAGCUGAUAGAAAGAAGCAAGCAGUGAUACUGAAGUCCUAUAUACUUGUAGGAUACAGCCAAGCCUUGGGAAUUCCUGCGUCUGGAGAAGACUGCCAUGCUGGCAUUACUUGAAGAGUUUAUCCCAGUCCUCCAUUGCUAGGGCACGUACGUGAUGGAGGAGACAGUAGCAACCCACUCCAGGGCUGGGCUGGCAUUUGAAAGGGUUUAAGCAUUAACUCAGUCUAGUGUGGUUAGUAAAUGAACUGUUACAUCUUUGUGUCAUUGCUUCCUUAUGUUCCUUCAUUUACAUGAAUAUCUGUUCUCUCUUUGUCCAACCUCUAGUCACUUAAAAUCCAGUUUUAUAAAUUUGUGCAAGUGUCUUCUCUGCUUGGCAGGAGCUGGCUGCCUUGCCAGCAGGCAGUAUGGAUAUGCAAGCCAUACACAUUUAACACUUGGAGAGGUGGAGAAGAGAGGAUGAAAAGUGAUUUACCUGCAGAGAGAGAGGAAGGGAAUAAUUGCUCAAAGUAACAGGGAGAUGUCUAAGGAAUCAUUAUUACUGCCUAGCCCAGCAA
rnacentral:lncRNA from 1 species